rnacentral:lncRNA from 1 species
GGCGCUAGCAGCGGCGGCGCGGGGAGCAGCGCGGCGGCGGGUGGAGCCGGAGGCGGAGGCGGAGGGGGCCCGGAAGAGAGCGACGAGGAGUGGGAUGUGGGCGUGUCGGCCAGCGGGAGGCUGGGUGGCGAGAGCGUGGCGAGCCGUGCCACCAAGAUCGCGGUGCGUGGCGCGUGCGUGUGUGUUGGAGCGAGCACGUAGGAGGAGAGCGGCAGUGCGUUUAGUGUUCGACAUCCCAAUGCCCUGCUUGCUCCCUGCCUUCCCUGCCCUUUUGCACGCUCUCGCGCCUUAUGUUGUUAAUCAAAGCACAGUGACACACACUGACACUGACACACACACACACACACACACACACACACACACACACACACACACACACACGACAGGACUUCCACCUGGCGGACAGCCUGCGCACCUGGUUCGUGCGCUUCGGCGCCGACCUGCACUUCAACACGCUGGCGUGCGGCAGCGCCAAGUGAGGGGGCAGAUGAGAGGGGGAGUGACUAGUUAAGGAAAUGGUAGACGGUAGACCAUCUUGCGGAACAUCAAGCGUUACCGACGAUGUUGAUCAGCUCCCGGCUCCAGCUCCAGCUCCAGUUCCAGCUCCAGCACGUAGACCCUCCGAAGUAGUGUUCCCGUUUGAUAUAAAGCUGCUGCAUAGCCUGACACGGCCUAAGUUCGUGGCGGCACGGCGACACUACUCGGGGAGAGGGAGAGGGAGACGGGAGGGGGAAAGAGAGACGGGAAGGGGAAAGGGAGAGGGAGGAAGAGGGAAAAAGGAAAGCGGGUGAAGGAGAGGGCGGGAGGGGAUCUCAGGGGUCAGCGUCGCUGCGCAUGCCAUACACCGUCCUGCGCAUUGCCUUACCUACAGCUCCCUAACCACACGACACACGGCACGCAACCCACCCGCACCUGCUCGCUCGCUCGCCCGCCCUCACGGACCCGCCACCGCAGGGGCAAGGUGUUUGUGUUCGCGCCGCGUGUAACCUCGGCCGCGGCUAUGGGCUGCCAGCCCAAGGCCAAACUGAGCGCGCCGCAGUGCCGCAGCGUGGUGCGUGGGCGUGGCGGCUGGAGGAGUCAGGGAGGGGGUGAAGGGAGUGGGUGCUGGAAAACCGGGGACAGGGACGGGGGAGGCAAGUCUGCACGGCGUGAUGCGCGUUGGUGUGGCGUGCUGUGUGUAUUGCCCAUGCGGCGCAGUAGCUGCUUGCGCAUUUCGCACACGCAGUGUAGACCCUGCCUUUGUGCAUUUGCCUAACACGCGUCUGCCUAGAUACACGCUACCGCAGUACACACAUACACACACACAGUCACACACACACAGUCACACACACACACAGUAUAGUCCUCCUGUUCGCUUAACGCCUGCUACUACAAUACACACGUGCUGGCACGUGUGUGCAGGUGCGCCAGACCGCCGUCAGUUGGGACGGCAGCACCGUCAUAGCCGCCUGCGAGGACGGCAGCAUCCACCGCUGGGACCGCGACGCGGCGGCAGCGGC